rnacentral:rRNA from 1 species
AUUGAACGCUGGCGGCAUGCCUUACACAUGCAAGUCGAACGGCAGCGGGGGAGAAGCUUGCUUUUCCUGCCGGCGAGUGGCGAACGGGUGAGUAAUACAUCGGAACGUGCCCUGUAGUGGGGGAUAACUAGUCGAAAGAUUAGCUAAUACCGCAUACGACCUGAGGGUGAAAGUGGGGGACCGCAAGGCCUCAUGCUAUAGGAGCGGCCGAUGUCUGAUUAGCUAGUUGGUGGGGUAAAGGCCUACCAAGGCGACGAUCAGUAGCUGUUCUGGGAGGACGAUCAGCCACACUGGGACUGAGACACGGCCCAGACUCCUACGGGAGGCAGCAGUGGGGAAUUUUGGACAAUGGGCGAAAGCCAGAUCCAGCAAUGCCGCGUGUGUGAAGAAGGCCUUCGGGUUGUAAAGCACUUUUGUCCGGAAAGAAAUGGCUCUGGUUAAUACCUGGGGUCGAUGACGGUACCGGAAGAAUAAGGACCGGCUAACUACGUGCCAGCAGCCGCCGUAAAAC